GAGAAGAAGAAACCGGAGGAGAAAAAGAGGAGAAGAGAAGGGAAGAGAGAGAGGAAAAGAAACUAAACCCAACCCGCAACACGCGCCGCCGCCGCCGCCUCCUCCUCCUCUCUCCGGCGACCGACCCAGCGGAGCUGCGGGGGGGCGUGCGGGGAACCACCACUGGAGGUAGAGCUAGAGCCUGGAGUCUGAUGCGUCCCAGCCCAUGGCCCCCCACCUCGGCCUCCACCUCCGCCUCCGCCUGCUGCUGGUCGUCGGCGUCGCGCUCGGGAGCGCCGGCGCCGGGCUCG
rnacentral:lncRNA from 1 species